rnacentral:rRNA from 1 species
UACGUAGGGACCAAGCGUUGUUCUGAUUUACUGGGCGUAAAGGGCGCGUAGGCGGCGUGGUAAGUCACUUGUGAAAUCUCUGAGCUUAACUCAGAACGGUCAAGUGAUACUGCUGUGCUAGAGUGCGGAAGGGGCAAUCGGAAUUCUUGGUGUAGCGGUGAAAUGCGUAGAUAUCAAGAGGAACACCUGAGGUGAAGACGGGUUGCUGGGCCGACACUGACGCUGAUGCGCGAAAGCCAGGGGAGCAAACGGG